rnacentral:lncRNA from 10 species
GUUGAUUAUCUGGUACAUCUAUCUUCUGCCUGUGCCUGGAACUGGGAGUAUGAGAUGAAAGAAGGGCAUGUCAUUGGUGGUACACUUUACAGUUAUCAAAUACUGAGGCUAGAUCAUGAAGGAACUAGAGGAUGAAUGGACAUUACCCCUGGAUGCUGGUCUUGAACACAGAUGCCGUAACCAUAAUCCUUCAGGUUGUCCAACUUCUGGAAUGGCUGUUUUCAUCUUGGCCCCAGGAGCUUGUCCUCAUUUUCUGAGGCGACAGAAGAGGAACUGAGAACCCAAAUUCUUUGUGCAAUGCAGGCUCUCUGGGUGUCAAAUACCCAUAAAACCAUUGCAUCCCGGCCUCAAGGUGGUGGUAUUUGCCUCCCACUCUCAAAGGAACAUCUGGAAGCCUGAAUGGAGAAGGAGGGCUGAUCAGCCAUCAGCUCAGCUGGGGCAGUGUUCCCUGACCUGUCAGCUCUUCCCCUUCAGACCUCAGAGGAUAGAGAGGGUCAGCUGGCAACCUCCACUGAGCCUGUGAACCAGUCCCAGGAGCUUCUCCAGCAGGUGUUUGUCCUUAGGCGGAGAUGUUUCCUGGAUGCCUCACUCCUUUGCCUCUCAAGGAUAAAUGCCCCGAUGACAGAAACCCCCAGCCCCUGCCCAGUGACAGGAAGUGCUGACUUCAACACUGGGUCCUGCCAUUUACCAGAGAGCCCUUGAAGAAAAAAUCAAGAGGAGAAAGGCCCAAAAGAAAGAAAACACGGUGGGCCAGAAAAAUUUCAUCAGGCAGAUUGCUUCAAGAUGAAGACCAACCAGAGAAAAUAUUCCCAGGAGUUAAAAUACGCAGCACGUUUUAGAUACCAAUGACGGCGAUUUGCUUUCUCUUCAUUUCUGUCUUCACAUUGCUGACAACUCCCCUCAUUGUCUUAAAUAUGGAUUGCCAAAGUCAAUUAAAUACGCAAGAGGAACAUUGUACAUUUUGGAGGAAAGUAAUUAUUGUUACACCUUAGAGCAGCUUAAUGAAUACAUUAAUAAACGAUCCUUCGCCAUGUUUUUCUUUUCAUAGCCAUCAAAAUCUUUAUAAAACCUACAGCACAAUACAUAACAUCUCGUUACAAGAUUUGCUUUUAAAAAAAUCAAUGCAUACCUAA